UGGUGGACUUUGUUAGUGAAGUGAUCAAAAGGAAUUUAUUUCAUUGAUUUCAAUUUCGUUUUUUUAUUUAAUAAUAAAUAUCAAAAAGGGUUAUUCUGAUUUAUUAACAGUUAAAAUGACGGUAGUAAAGUUUUUAGUCGGCGGUACAUGUGUUACGUGUUCGGUAUAUACUAUUUAUUGUUUGUACAAAAAAUAUAGAAACAAGUCAGAGCAACAAACGAAAAAAGGAAGAUCUUUGGUAUUAUUUUCCUCUGAAGAAUCUGUAAUGUGUAAAACUCAUUUAAUGCUUGGGAAUCCUUGCAACAGGAUUCAUUGCCCGGUACGAACUAUCAAUGAAUUGAGAAAAGCAAUUUUAUCCGCAAAACACUCUUUGGAUGUGUGCGUUUACUUCCUAACGCAUCCUUCUCUAAUUGAUGCAAUUAUAGAAGUAUUUCACAGAGAUGUACCCGUGCGAGUAAUCACUGACGCUGAUAUGUCGGACAAUACUUCGUCGACCGAACACAUAUACAAAAUGCGGAAAUUGGGCAUUCGCCUUCGUACUAAGCAGUCUUUCUAUUAUAUGCAUCAUAAAUUUGCUGUAAUUGACAAGCGAAUUCUGAUAACUGGAAGCACCAAUUGGACAAAAAAUGGUUUCUUUGGAAACUUUGAAAACAUUAUUAUCACCAAUCAACCGGAUUUGGCUAAACCGUUUGCUGAAGAAUUCGAAAGACUUUGGAUAAUUUUCGAUAAUUUACCAAAUACCAAUGGACUUGAAAACCCCAAAAACAAGAGCUCAAGGAAUUAUUGAACUCGAAAGAAAGACUAAAUAGAAUAAUUAUGCAUUAAACUUUACGUUUUGGAAAACGUAAUCAACAUUUUAUAUUUAAUUCUCAAAAGGUAAAAGAAGAUUCAAAGCUUUCGAUUAAAAAUAGAAUAAAUACUAGAGAUACUUCAAGUCAAAAUAAAUUUUUUUUUCACACCCCAUUUAAUGAUGAGCAUUUAAUAAUUUCACCUGAUAAAUUAUAUGCAGCUGUUUUGUUCGACGUUCAGAAAUCUUUUACACAACUUCCUAAAUAUCGAGUA